GAUGAACGCUGGCGGCGUGCCUAAUACAUGCAAGUCGAGCGAACAGACGAGGAGCUUGCUCCUCUGACGUUAGCGGCGGACGGGUGAGUAACACGUGGAUAACCUACCUAUAAGACUGGGAUAACUUCGGGAAACCGGAGCUAAUACCGGAUAAUAUAUUGAACCGCAUGGUUCAAUAGUGAAAGACGGUUUUGCUGUCACUUAUAGAUGGAUCCGCGCCGCAUUAGCUAGUUGGUAAGGUAACGGCUUACCAAGGCAACGAUGCGUAGCCGACCUGAGAGAGUGAUCGGCCACACGGGAACGGAGACACGGUCCAGACUCCUACGGGAGGCAGCAGUAGGGAAUCGUCCGCAAAGGGCGAAAGCGUGACGGAGCAACGCGGAGUGAGUGAUGAAGGUCUUCGGAUCGUAAAACUCUGUUAUUAGGGAAGAACAAAUGUGUAAGUAACUAUGCACGUCUUGACGGUACCUAAUCAGAAAGCCACGGCUAACUACGUG
rnacentral:rRNA from 1 species